ensembl:lncRNA
CAGCCAUGAAACAAAAACAGUUCUAUAAAAAGAGGAACAUUCAGAUACUAUUGAAGAGCUAUUGGAUAUUAAGCACAUUGACAUCAGAAUUAAAAACUCAACAGAACGGUAGGAAGAUAAAGAUGAGCAAAUCCCCCGGGGGGAGAAAAAGAGAUUGAAAAUAAGAGAAUAUAACAAAAAUUAAGGACAAGUCCAGGAGAGCCAAUAGGUGAUUACCAGGAGUUCAGAAAGACAACUCAGAGAAGAUAGAGGAGAGGAAAGCAUCCAUGAAACAAUCCAAUGAAAUUUCUAAGAACUGAAAGACAAGAGAGAAGAUUGAAUGGACCGCCCAAACUUCCGAGUAGCCCCCAAAAUGUAUGAAAAUAGCCCCUCUCCAAGGUAUGUCAGUGUGCUAUUUUAGAGCACAGGACCCCAAGGGAAGAUUUUGUAAGCUUCCAGAGUAGAAAACAAACAAACAAACAAACCCAAACUGGUCAUCCACCAAGUAUUAGGAAUCAGAAUGGCUUCAGAUUUCUUAACAGCAACACAGGCAGCAGAAGACAGUGAGCAGCGGCGUCAGAGUUCUGCAGGAAACCGAUUCCUAACUAGGAGCUAUAUCUGGACAAACUAUCAACCAAAUACGAGGGCAAAAUAAAAAUAUUUUCAGAUAAACAAGGUUUCAAAAAGCUUACUUCCCAUUCUCUCUUUCUUAAUAACCAUGGAGGAUAUAUGGUCCUCCCAAAUGGAAAAAAAAAAAAAAAAGGACAUCAUCUGCUAAUUUUCCUUCAAUAUCCAUUCCUUUGGUGUGGACCUCCCUGACUUUUAGCUGGGCAAGGAGCUUCUCAGCAGGGACACCAUUGCCCAGCCUCCCCUGUGGCUAAGGGAGGCCCUGGACGAAGUCCUGGCCAAGGGAUGGGAGCAGAAGUGGUGCAUACAACUCCUGGGUUGGUGGGAGUCCAUGGGGCAAAGCCCCUUUGGACUGUUAUGAGAGAGACAAUUAAGCUUCUAACGUAAUUUUGUUACGGCAGUUUAGCUGUAACAAAUACAUAUGGGACGUGGGAAAUAGGAGAUCAGGAAACUGAAUCCCCAGGAUGAUGGUGAAGGGACAUCGCGGGAAGAGAGCUGUGCCCUGACACACACGGCAACGAUUCCAGAUUGCAGUGGUGUAAUUUUCCAUGUUGAGGGCUCUCCUGCUGUACCUUUUUUUUUUUUAAGAUGGACACCUGAGCUAACAUCUGUUACUAGUCUUUUUUUUUUUUCCUUCUUCCUCUCUCCAAAGCACCCCAGUACAUAGUUGUAUAUUUUAGUUGUGGGUCCUUCUAGUUGUGGCAUGUGGCAUGUCGCCCCCUCAGCAUGGCUUGAUGAGCGGUGCCGUGUCUAUGCCCAGGGUCCGAACCAGCAAAACCCUGUGACCCAGAAGCACAGCGCAUGAACUUAACUGCUUGGCCACAGGGCCAGCCCCCGGCUGUACCUUAUUUAACUCGAGGACAGAAUGCUCAAAUGAGCCUGAAGCAGAUUCUUAUCUGUACUUAGUUGCCUCAUGCUGACAUUUUUAUUCAUGCCACACACUUGGCUAGUCGAGGGUGUGCCACACUCCCACAGAAGUGAUGUGCUUUGACCUACUCCUGAGAGUGGGAGGUGGGCUGUGGAAGCAGGAAACACAGAGCAGCCCGCUUCCAUCGACCAUAUUUCUGGGGCAUGCCCAGUACCUGUUCACAUGAUAGCCUCCCUGACCACCAAAGACUCACUCAGGACCACCCCUCUGGUAAACUCCCCAGGAAGCUGAAGCCAGUCUAUGACCCAGAGCCUCUGUCCGGCUCAUCUUCUCCUGGGGUCGUUCAUCUGAUUGUCAUAUCGCCCUUUCCUUACACAGCGAGAUUGGUGUUUGCUGUUGCUUUUCGAAACUAAGAUGUAUUGUUUAGGGAUAUUUAGAGAGUAAAACUAUAAAGAGAAGUGUCAGAAUGAUUGCAACAACGAGCUAGUGUUCCCUCUGUGGAGGGAAGAGGUUAAACAGAGAUGUUAAGCAAUGCCUCUUGCCUUUGAGUAUUUCUGAGUCUGGCAAGAACCCAGAACAGAUGAUUGAUGACAACACAACCUGAUGAGGGUUUUAAAGUACCUCUAUGCAGAGGGCUUUAGGAUCACAGAAGAGGGAGCAAGUCUGGGAGAUCCGAUAUGUGAUUACUAGGAGUUCCAGAAAGAGAACACAGAAAAGAUAGAGGAAAGUCAAAAGGCAGUGAGAGGAGAGGGUAUGUAAAGGGGGAGGUAGUCUGUAAGUCAGGGCUUGAAGGAGGAGUAUGACAGCAAAACAAAGGCUAAGAAAGGGCAUCUCUGGAGGAGGAAACACAUGAGCAGAGACAGAGGAGUAUGAAAGAAAGUGCAGGCAAGCGAACUGGAGUGGAUCAGGGACAGUGCAGGUUGCACACCGCGCAGCCUCCAGGGGGUGUCAAUCAGAGCGUUGUGCAGUGCAUGACCUGCACAAUCAUCCACAGCAGUCUGGUUGAAGGCAGUGGUAGAGCCCGUAAGGGAAGGAAGAGUAAGCCAAAAGCACAAGGGUAUUAAGUGAGAAAUGGAAAAUGGAACAUGAAAUGAAAAAGACUAUUAUUAAACCCUAAACAGUAUUCAAUAGGCUAGUGUUGAUAUAUUACAUUCAAAUUAUUUGUCAUUUCAAUAUAAAAUUGGAAAAUCACAUCAACCAUUUGUCCUCAAUGAGGGACAAUAGCAUGUGCUUUAUAAUGGCGAGAGAAAAACAUAAAGCUUUAAAUUGGUGUAUUUUGCAUUAAUAUCAUUCCUUAAGGUCUUGAGAACAUAGAAAAGAAUUGGACAAAGAUCACUGUAUCAUCUCUGGGUACUUCUUUAUUAGAAAAGAAAUUAACAUUCACCCUAAAGACUGCAGAAGGAAAUUAACUUACUCUUGCAAUGCUAGAACAAACAUCACAGUAAGGGAUCCUUAAGUUUUCAGAGAGUAGGGAAAAAAAGGAGAGAGAAAAUAAUUUAGGACCGUGUUUCUUAAAUUUGGCUACUUUCACAGACAUACCCUUGGGGGAGGGAGUUGUAAGUUUUCUGUGAUAACGUUUUAAAUUUCAUGUUUUACUUUGGUUCAUAAUCUAAGCAAAUUAACACAUACUUGUUCAGGAUGACCUGGAUGAGCAUCUUAGGCAAGAGAUGAUCACGGCAUCUCCACCUGGACCUCCGAUCACUGGGCACCAGGAGGCCAACAGUGCUUAAUGUUUCAUGCGGACUUUCUCAAAUGGGGCCCUCAGGCCCUUCAUUUCUUAAUUCACUUCUCCAAUUUCUUAACUGUUGAACAUUUCCUGUGAGAGCUGUGAAUUUGUCAAGGUUGAGAACACUGUUUCAGAGCAAACGAUUCUCAAGAUAGGAGUGGGGUGGAGUGAGGAUGGUAACCAGGGAGACACAUGCAGUUUGAAAAAGUACAUUCAAAAUACUUAUUGAUUUCAUAGUACAAACUCCAUAAAGCCAAACUCAACAAAAUAAUUUUCAGAAGUAAACAGCUGCUGUAGCUGGGUAAAGGUAGCCCCUGAUCCAUCCACCAGGAAGUGCUGUCAUCAUUGCAAUGCUAUUCAGCUCUCAGGGGGACAUCAGUCUGGGAUCAGCUCUG